rnacentral:rRNA from 1 species
CAAUAGCGUAUAUUAAAGUUGUUGCAGUUAAAAAGCUCGUAGUUGGAUUUCGGGGCAGCCUGGCUGGUCCGCCGCAAGGCGAGUACUGGUCAGCCGCCCUUCCUCUCGAAAGCCCCGACUGCUCUUCGUUGCAGUGGUCGGGUAGUUCGGGACGUUUACUUUGAAAAAAUUAGAGUGUUCAAGGCAGGCCUACGCCUGAAUACAUUAGCAUGGAAUAAUGGAAGAGGACCUCGGUCCUAUUUUGUUGGUUUCCAGGGCCGAAGUAAUGAUUAAGAGGGACAGUUGGGGGCAUUCGUAUUUAAUUGUCAGAGGUGAAAUUCUCGGAUUUAUGAAAGACGAACAACUGCGAAAGCAUUUGCCAAGGAUGUUUUCAUCAA